rnacentral:tRNA from 1 species
GUCCUCGUAGCUCAACUGGAUAGAGCGCUGGCCUCCGAAGCCAGAGGUUGUUGGUUCAAAUCCAAUCGGGGAUA